rnacentral:rRNA from 1 species
GAUGAACGCUAGCGGGAGGCUUAACACAUGCAAGUCGAGGGGCAGCAUAGGGUAGCAAUACUCUGAUGGCGACCGGCAAACGGGUGAGUAACGCGUAUGCAACCUACCCUGUACAGGGGGAUAACCCGGAGAAAUUCGGACUAAUAUCCCGUAAUAAUAUCCGGAGGCAUCUUUGGAUAUUUAAAGUUCCGACGGUACGGGAUGGGCAUGCGUAACAUUAACUGGUUGGUAAGGUAACGGCUUACCAAGGCUAUGAUAUUUAGGGGUCCUGAGAGGGUGGUCCCCCACACUGGUACUGAGACACGGACCAGACUCCUACGGGAGGCAGCAGUGAGGAAUAUUGGUCAAUGGGCGCAAGCCUGAACCAGCCAUCCCGCGUGCAGGAAGACGGCCCUAUGGGUUGUAAACUGCUUUUCCAGGGAGAGAAACUUACGCACGUGUUGCGUGACUGACGGUACCUGGGAAUAAGCAUCGGCUAACUCCGUG